CCGAGGGCUCGUUUGGCCUUCCACGGAGGCAGUGGGGCAGGCACCACUCCACCUUUCCCAGCCCUUGAGACCCUCCAGGAACCUGGCUGAGUUAUUGUCAGAGCUUGACCAAGACCUGAGGUAGUAUGAGAAACUGAAAACUGAGCAGAAGAGCUUAUUCCAGGUAUCUAAGAGGUGGCUCAGUGGGGCUGCCUACCAGUCCUGACAUCUCCCCUUCUUGCCUGCCAUUAAUCUGAGACCCCUGCCGUCUAUCACUUUGUGGUGAGACCAGCCUGCCCCAAUCAUCGCAGUCAUCAAAGGACUUUGGAGGCCCUCAGGAAUGCUCAGGCAGUGAAACCUAAACAGUUUGGAGCUGGAGCAUCCUUGCGAUUGGGAACUGAAGGAGGAGGGUGCCGCGCUAGCCUGACCUGACCCCAGCAUUGCAAACCCUGGAGCUUCCAGGGGGACUCUGGAGUCAGAGAAACCCGGGUGUAAAUCUCCCUUUUGUCAAUGUGGAAGUUGCUGAACAUCUCUGAGGCUCAGUUUUCUCAUUUAUUAGAUGGGCUGUUAAUAAAAGUAUCUACCCGUC
rnacentral:lncRNA from 1 species